UACAGCAAUGUUUUACUGUCUCCGCGCUCCUGAGCGAUCAUUUGGCAGCAGGAAUAGAAAUGCUGUUGAAAAGAGGUCGAUGGAGGGAGGGGGAUUAAACCACUUUCCAGAAUAUGGCAAUAAUGUUUUCUCUGACCCAGAGACACGAAUGCUGUGAAGCAAUGGCUGUUUAGAGAAGGCUGUCACUGCAUUUUGAUAAGACCUAGAGGCUUGACUGAGUCUGGAAGCCUGUUGCUGCUGGAUGAUGACCACUGAAGAACAACAUGCAAGGAGACAAGGUGGACAAAAGGUGGAAGCAGAAGAGAGGCCAGAAUAAGCGCUCCAACACAAGAGGAUUCUCCAGCCCUAGUGGGACUUGAAUAUAGAUCAUCUGAGUCCCCCAUCGACUGCCCUAAAUGUAGAGCUGUACUUGCCUUGUGUGGCUAAGCAGGGAUGCCAGGACCCCCCUGCACAGCAACACUAGAUCAUUCAGAGCACUGAGGAACAACUCCGUGGAGGCAAGAAGAGGAGCAGAGCUGGUUCUCAUUUCUUGCUUGCCAGCUGAGGCCCCGCUGGCUUGAUAAAUAUAAGCAAAUCAAGCUGUAACUAGAGGCAGGAGU